AUUGAACGCUGGCGGCAUGCCUUACACAUGCAAGUCGAACGGCAGCAUGGAGAGCUUGCUCUCUGAUGGCGAGUGGCGAACGGGUGAGUAAUGCAUCGGAACGUACCGUGUAAUGGGGGAUAACGUAGCGAAAGUUACGCUAAUACCGCAUACGACCUGAGGGUGAAAGCAGGGGAUCGCAAGACCUUGCGUUAUACGAGCGGCCGAUGUCAGAUUAGCUAGUUGGUGAGGUAAAGGCUCACCAAGGCGACGAUCUGUAGCGGGUCUGAGAGGAUGAUCCGCCACACUGGGACUGAGACACGGACCAGACUCCUACGGGAGGCAGCAGUGGGGAAUUUUGGACAAUGGGGGCAACCCUGAUCCAGCCAUGCCGCGUGAGUGAAGAAGGCCUUCGGGUUGUAAAGCUCUUUCGGCCGGGAAGAAAUCGCACAGGCUAAUGCUCUGUGUGGAUGACGGUACCGGCAUAAGAAGCACCGGCUAACUACGUGCCAGCCGCCGCUGUAA
rnacentral:rRNA from 1 species